rnacentral:rRNA from 1 species
GACGUACGCUGGCGGCGUGCUUAACACAUGCAAGUCGAACGGAAAGGCCCUGCUUUUGUGGGGUGCUCGAGUGGCGAACGGGUGAGUAACACGUGAGUAACCUGCCCUUGACUUUGGGAUAACUUCAGGAAACUGGGGCUAAUACCGGAUAGGAGCUCCUGCUGCAUGGUGGGGGUUGGAAAGUUUCGGCGGUUGGGGAUGGACUCGCGGCUUAUCAGCUUGUUGGUGGGGGAGUGGCUUACCAAGGCUUGGACGGGUAGCCGGCCUGAGAGGGUGACCGGCCACAUGGGGACUGAGAUACGGCCCAGACUCCUACGGGAGGCAGCAGUGGGGAAUAUUGCACAAUGGGCGGAAGCCUGAGGCAGCAACGCCGCGUGCGGGAUGACGGCCUUCGGGUUGUAAACCGCUUUCGCCUGUGACGAAGCGUGAGUGACGGUAAUGGGUAAAGAAGCACCGGCUAACUACGUG